rnacentral:rRNA from 1 species
CCGGGAACUCAAAGGAGACUGCCAGUGAUAAACUGGAGGAAGGUGGGGAUGACGUCAAGUCAUCAUGGCCCUUACGACCAGGGCUACACACGUGCUACAAUGGCGCAUACAAAGAGAAGCGACCUCGCGAGAGCAAGCGAACCUCAUAAAGUGCGUCGUAGUCCGGAUUGGAGUCUGCAACUCGACUCCAUGAAGUCGGAAUCGCUAGUAAUCGUGGAUCAGAAUGCCACGGUGAAUACGUUCCCGGGCCUUGUACACACCGCCCGUCACACCAUGGGAGUGGGUUGCAAAAGAAGUAGGUAGCUUAACCUUCGGGAGGGCGCUUACCACUUUGUGAUUCAUGACUGGGGUGAAGUCGUAACAAGGUAACCGUAGGGGAACCUGCGGUUGGAUCACCUCCUUACCUUAAAGAA